rnacentral:rRNA from 1 species
GACGAACGCUGGCGGCGUGCUUAACACAUGCAAGUCGAACGGUAAGGCCCUUCGGGGUACACGAGUGGCGAACGGGUGAGUAACACGUGGGUGAUCUGCCCUGCACUUCGGGAUAAGCCUGGGAAACUGGGUCUAAUACCGGAUAGGACCACUGCCUGCAUGGGUGGUGGUGGAAAGCUUUUGCGGUGUGGGAUGGGCCCGCGGCCUAUCAGCUUGUUGGUGGGGUGAUGGCCUACCAAGGCGACGACGGGUAGGCGGCCCUGAGAGGGUGACCGGCCACACUGGGACUGAGAUACGGCCCAGACUCCUACGGGAGGCAGCAGUGGGGAAUAUAGCACAAUGGGCGCAAGCCUGAUGCAGCGACGCCGCGUGAGGGAUGACGGCCUUCGGGUUGUAAACCUCUUUCAGCACCGACGAAGCGCAAGUGACGGUAGGUGCAGAAGAAGGACCGGCCAACUACGUGCCAGCCGCCGCAGUAA